UGGCCGAACAAGUCCAUCGGGAAAUCCAUCCGCUCAACGGAUGGGCGUCCGGCGGAAACUGUUCGGCUUGGGACCGGAAGACCCGAGGGGUACGUCCGGGGUAGGAGUGAAAUCCCGUAAUCCUGGACGGACCGCCGGUGGCGAAAGCGCCUCGGGAGGACGGAUCCGACAGUGAGGGACGAAAGCUAGGGUCACGAACCGGAUUAGAUACCCGGGUAGUCCUAGCCGUAAACAAUGCUCACUAGGUGUGGCACUGGCUACGAGCCAGUGCUGUGCCGUAGGGAAGCCGUGAAGUGAGCCGCCUGGGAA
rnacentral:rRNA from 1 species